AUUGAACGCUGGCGGCAGGCCUAACACAUGCAAGUCGAGCGGAUGAAGAGAGCUUGCUCUCUGAUUCAGCGGCGGACGGGUGAGUAAUGCCUAGGAAUCUGCCUGGUAGUGGGGGACAACGUUUCGAAAGGAACGCUAAUACCGCAUACGUCCUACGGGAGAAAGCAGGGGACCUUCGGGCCUUGCGCUAUCAGAUGAGCCUAGGUCGGAUUAGCUAGUAGGUGGGGUAAAGGCUCACCUAGGCGACGAUCCGGAACUGGUCUGGGAGGAUGAUCAGUCACACUGGAACUGAGACACGGUCCAGACUCCUACGGGAGGCAGCAGUGGGGAAUAUUGGACAAUGGGCGAAAGCCUGAUCCAGCCAUGCCGCGUGUGUGAAGAAGGUCUUCGGAUUGUAAAGCACUUUAAGUUGGGAGGAAGGGUUGUAAGCUAAUAUCUUGCAGCUUUGACGUUACCAACAGAAUAAGCACCGGCUAACUCUGUGCCAGCCGCCGCAGUAAAAC
rnacentral:rRNA from 1 species